CCGAAGUUAAGCUUUCUUGGGCGAGAGUAGUACUAGGAUGGGGGACCUCCUGAGAAGUCCUCGUGUUGCAUUCC
rnacentral:rRNA from 1 species